CUGAUGCAGCAACGCCGCGUGAGGGAUGACGGCCUUCGGGUUGUAAACCUCUUUUAGUAGGGAAGAAGCGAGAGUGACGGUACCUGCAGAAAAAGCACCGGCUAACUACGUGCCAGCAGCCGCGGUAAUACGUAGGGUGCAAGCGUUGUCCGGAAUUAUUGGGCGUAAAGAGCUCGUAGGCGGUUUGUCGCGUCUGCUGUGAAAUCCCGAGGCUCAACCUCGGGCUUGCAGUGGGUACGGGCAGACUAGAGUGCGGUAGGGGAGAUUGGAAUUCCUGGUGUAGCGGUGGAAUGCGCAGAUAUCAGGAGGAACACCGAUGGCGAAGGCAGAUCUCUGGGCCGUAACUGACGCUGAGGAGCGAAAGCGUGGGGAGCGAACAGGAUUAGAUACCCUGGUAGUCCACGCCGUAAACGUUGGGCGCUAGAUGUAGGGACCUUUCCACGGUUUCUGUGUCGUAGCUAACGCAUUAAGCGCCCCGCCUGGGGAGUACGGCCGCAAGGCUAAAACUCAAAGGAAUUGACGGGGGCCCGCACAAGCGGCGGAGCAUGCGGAUUAAUUCGAUGCAACGCGAAGAACCUUACCAAGGCUUGACAUACACCGGAAACGGCCAGAGAUGGUCGCCCCCUUGUGGUCGGUGUACAGGUGGUGCAUGGUUGUCGUCAGCUCGUGUCGUGAGAUGUUGGGUUAAGUCCCGCAACGAGCGCAACCCUCGUUCUAUGUUGCCAGCGCGUUAUGGCGGGGACUCAUAGGAGACUGCCGGGGUCAACUCGGAGGAAGGUGGGGAUGACGUCAAAUCAUCAUGCCCCUUAUGUCUUGGGCUUCACGCAUGCUACAAUGGCCGGUACAAAGGGCUGCGAUACCGUAAGGUGGAGCGAAUCCCAAAAAGCCGGUCUCAGUUCGGAUUGAGGUCUGCAACUCG
rnacentral:rRNA from 1 species